UAGAUAUGAUCACAACUGAAUAGCAGCAGAAAAGUGAAGCAUGUUUGUGGUAAAAUAAUAUUUUACCCUUUUGAGCCCUGACCCAUCUCAAGUCAGAGAAUAAUUGGACAUGCAGCACCAGUGCAGAUGGCUGGCCCUCUGAAAGGGGCCUGACUUGCUUUGAAGACAUGUUCCAGUGAGUUACAAUGCCUUAUCACUAGGAGGGGGCAUCCAGGCAUUUCUGUUUCUGUGUUUUAUGGAACAGAUAGAAGAUAUCUGGAAAUUUGGAUAAUUAGAGGACAGGACUGAAUUAGACACACAGUCUAAGACCUUCUCAGCCCCCUUGGCUUCUGGCUGGGGCCUUAUAGAAGAUAAAGGAGAACCAUCUAGGUUUAGGGGAGGAAAACAGAAGAUAAGAAAGGCCAACAUAGGAAUCUAACCAAAGAAAGAGCAAGAA
rnacentral:lncRNA from 1 species